UUGGGACCUGGCUCUCGUUCUUCAUUCUUGGAAAAAUGGAGUGAAAUAGGAUGCUCUGGAAUCAAAGAAACUAUCUUUCAGCUGGAAGUGACGAAGCUACAUAAUUCUGACAAAUGAAACGUAAGUGCUUGUUUACUCUGUGGUUUUUGGGCAAGCAUAUCCUUCCAUGAUAUGCAUGUUGUCUCUUCCCUCCUCCUUCUUCUCUGCAAUGGAAGAUCAUUGUGAUACUUGGUGUUGCAGCAGCCAUCUUGCAGCCAUCUUGCAACCAUGAGGGAAAGGCCCAUAGCAUCAUGAGAUGCAAACCAGGGCCAACAGCUGUUGUCUUCAGACUUUUGUUAUGUAAAAAAAACUUCUCUAUUUGUUUAAACCAUUAAGAUCAGGCUAUCUUGUACUGGCAGCCAAAAUAUUCCUAAAUGAUACAAUGGAUAAAUCAGAUUCAUUUGUACUCAGAA
rnacentral:lncRNA from 1 species